rnacentral:rRNA from 1 species
GACGAACGCUGGCGGCGUGCCUAAUACAUGCAAGUAGAACGCUGAAGGAGGAGCUUGCUUCUCUGGAUGAGUUGCGAACGGGUGAGUAACGCGUAGGUAACCUGCCUGGUAGCGGGGGAUAACUAUUGGAAACGAUAGCUAAUACCGCAUAAGAGUAGAUGUUGCAUGACAUUUACUUAAAAGGUGCAAUUGCAUCACUACCAGAUGGACCUGCGUUGUAUUAGCUAGUUGGUGAGGUAACGGCUCACCAAGGCAACGAUACAUAGCCGACCUGAGAGGGUGAUCGGCCACACUGGGACUGAGACACGGCCCAGACUCCUACGGGAGGCAGCAGUAGGGAAUCUUCGGCAAUGGGCGGAAGUCUGACCGAGCAACGCCGCGUGAGUGCAGAAGGUUUUCGGAUCGUAAAGCUCUGUUGUAAGAGAAGAACGAGUGUGAGAGUGGAAAGUUCACACUGUGACGGUAUCUUACCAGAAAGGGACGGCUAACUACGUG